rnacentral:tRNA from 1 species
GGAGGGAUGGCCGAGUUGGUGAAGGCAGUCGCCUAAUAAGCGACCAAACGCUUUGCGUUUUCGCGGGUUCGAGCCCCGCUCCCUAUU